rnacentral:rRNA from 1 species
CCCUUAGAUGUCCUGGGCCGCACGCGUGCUACACUGAUGCAUACAGCGAGUACUUUCCAGCUCCGCGAGGCAGCUGGUAAUCAGCAAUAUGCAUCGUGCUGGGGAUAGAUCUUUGGAAUUAUAGAUCUUGGACGAGGAAUUCCUAGUAAGCGCAAGUCAUUAGCUUGCGCUGAUUAAGUCCCUGCCCUUUGUACACACCGCCCGUCGCUCCUACCGAUUUCGAGUGAUUCGGUGAACCUUUUGGACAGCGUCUGUCCUCGUGUCAGAUGCUGAAAGUCAAGUAAACCAUAUCACUUAGAGGAAGGAGAAGUCGUAACA